GUACACGCUGUGACUAGCAUAUCAAUAAGCGGAGGAAAAGAAACUAACAAGGAUUCCCCUAGUAACGGCGAGUGAAGCGGGAAGAGCUCAAAUUUGAAAUCUUAAAGGGUUUCCCUUUACGAAUUGUAGUUUAAAGAAGUGUUUUCUGUUGAGGUUUUGGUAAAAGUUCUUUGGAAUAGGACAUCAUAGAGGGUGAGAAUCCCGUAUUUGACCUUUACUUUCAACUUUGUGAUACACUUUCAAAGAGUCGGAUUGUUUGGGAAUGCAGUCCAAAAUGGGUGGUAAAUUUCAUCUAAAGCUAAAUAUUGGCGAGAGACCGAUAGCGAACAAGUACCGUGAGGGAAAGAUGAAAAGAACUUUGAAAAGAGAGUUAAACAGUACGUGAAAUUGUCAAAAGGGAAGCGUUUGACACCAGUGUUGUUUUUCUGAAAAUCAAUUAAAGAACUGUUUAUGCUAAGCUGUUUAGACUUUAUCAGCUAUCUGUUUAGUUUUGAGCUUUUCUUUAAUGCACUUUUCAGUUAACAAGUCAACAACAAUUUCUUUUGCUGUAAAAAAGCUUGAGGAAGGUGGCUUGAGAUUCGUCUUAAGUGUUUAUAGCCUCUUGCCUAUGCAGUCGGAGAGAUUGAGGUCUGCAGCGUAGAUCCUUCGGGGCUAAAUGCAUUUGUGCUAAGUUAUAGCAUUUUAUAGACAACUUGUUGACUAUGAUUUGUCUUGUAGCUUACUCGCUUAUGUUAUUUUACCUACGCUUAGGAUGUUGACACACGCGCGUGCUCG
rnacentral:rRNA from 1 species